CUGUAUGUUUUCACAGCCUCAGCCCCCCCCCCCCACACACACACAAACAAAGAGGCGUUAGGCUGAGACGCUGAAAGUCCGGAUUUAAAGUGCAGAAAAUUAAGCCAUUGAAUCUGCCUGUCCAUGACGUACAAAGACACACUAUGAGCCAGUAUGAUCCGACCAGACCUUACAUCAGCAUUGAGGAGUUGUCGGAGAAGAAAGAGGCUGAUUGAAGCGGGACAGAUGACAUGGAUCCAUCCUUCCACAGCCAGGAGCGCACCGACCUGUGUCCCACACUUCAUAUAAGACUGGAAGCUACACUGAUCUCACAGCUACACACCACAGACGUCUACACACUGGAGAAGAUUCAGACAGAGUCCCACAAAGAAGUCAUGACCCAGAGGCUGCAGAGAAACAUUUCAAGCCUCAUCUGAGUUUUUGUACAAUAUUUUUGCUGUAUGUAAAUAAAGCUUUCACUCCA